UGAACGCUGGCGGCAUGCCUUACACAUGCAAGUCGAACGGUAACAGGUCUUCGGAUGCUGACGAGUGGCGAACGGGUGAGUAAUACAUCGGAACGUGCCCGAUCGUGGGGGAUAACGAGGCGAAAGCUUUGCUAAUACCGCAUACGAUCUACGGAUGAAAGCGGGGGAUCUUCGGACCUCGCGCGGACGGAGCGGCCGAUGGCAGAUUAGGUAGUUGGUGGGAUAAAAGCUUACCAAGCCGACGAUCUGUAGCUGGUCUGAGAGGAUGAUCAGCCACACUGGGACUGAGACACGGCCCAGACUCCUACGGGAGGCAGCAGUGGGGAAUUUUGGACAAUGGGCGAAAGCCUGAUCCAGCCAUGCCGCGUGCAGGAUGAAGGCCUUUGGGUUGUAAACUGCUUUUGUACGGAACGAAAAGCCUCUUUCUAAUAAAGAGGGGUCAUGACGGUACCGUAAGAAUAAGCACCGGCUAACUACGUG
rnacentral:rRNA from 1 species